AUGAACGCUAGCGACAGGCCUAACACAUGCAAGUCAGGGGCAGCACAAGGAGCAAUCUGAGGUGGCGACCGGCGCACGGGUGAGUAACACGUAUGCAACCUGCCUGUAAGCGGGGAAUAACCCGUUGAAAGACGGACUAAUACCGCAUAAUACUAAAUUACUGCAUGGUAAUUUAUUUAAACAUUUAUGGCUUACAGAUGGGCAUGCGCAUGAUUAGCUAGUUGGAGAGGUAACGGCUCCCCAAGGCAACGAUCAUUAGGGGUUCUGAGAGGAAGGUCCCCCACACUGGUACUGAGACACGGACCAGACUCCUACGGGAGGCAGCAGUGAGGAAUAUUGGUCAAUGGACGAGAGUCUGGACCAGCCAAGUCGCGUGCAGGAAGAAUGUCCCUAUGGAUUGUAAACUGCUUUUGCAGGGGAAUAAAGUGCAUCACGUGUGAUGUUUUGUAUGUACUCUGCGAAUAAGGAUCGGCUAACUCCGUGCCAGCCGCCGC
rnacentral:rRNA from 1 species